rnacentral:antisense_RNA from 1 species
UUGUAUUGCAACUUGCUUUCUUUUCAGUUAAAGACACAGUGUAUCUUGGAUAGUUGAGUGAUUUGCCAUGCAUGCAAGAAAAGUCUUUUAUUUGUAACAAAGUCUUGCAGAAAUAGACACAAACGACGGAGCUUGCAGAGAAAAAUGUAAAAAAUCCUUUCCUUCCCUUAUCAGAGGAACCCUGAGAAACCAGUAUUUGAGGCUGACGAUGACAGCAGCCCCCACCGAUUACGAGCUAACUGUGACCAGCACUGCCACGCAUGUAUCCCAUCACUCAGUCCUCAUAUGCUGCUAGGAGACUGGAUGGCCAUUUCACGAGCAAGUAAAUGGAGGCACAGCCACGUCACGUAACUGCCCACACAGCUAGUAGGUGCACAGCUGAAAUUCAAGCCUUGGCAGUGGGUACCCAGAGUCCCAGCUUGGAACAUCACUGUGAUACAAAUGGGGCUUUCUGUGGUUAUGGCUCAGGGUAGGAAUCAGAUGCGGUUUACCUUAGGGAAAGACAACUCUUAGCUCUGUCACUGCCUAAGCCGAUGACAGCACCCAUUCUCUAGGGACUGGGCAUGUGCCUGGUACAUUGCUGCAUUGUCAGAGGAAGUGUGUAUGUGUGCAGGGGGUGGGGGUGAAGGGGCAGGGGGGUCAUAGGGAAGACACAGGUGUUAGGGUCACAAAGACCUCAGUUUGAGUCUUAACCCUAAUGUACCAGCUGUGUGACUCCGGGCAACUUUU